CAAUCCUCUGUUUUCUGAAUACACAGUUUCGUGAUGUUUUUAAAAAGACAUUCUGUCGUUGUGUUCAGAACGGAUCGCUUACAAAAUGUUGCCGAAAUGAAAAAGCACAGCAUAAAACUACAAAGCAUGACAAUGGCAUAUCCAAUAUAGAUAAAACGGACCAAAGUUCGACGCCGCGAGAAAAAGUACAAUACGAUGAAACGAUAUUUAGUCAUAUUUAAACGGAACACCAAGACAGAGCAAAACAAAUGUAUUGUUUAAGGAAAUAUGAAAGGAGGUCAGAUGGCUACUAUCCGAUGGACAUGAACACUUUUUAAAAUAUCAUUUAACAUACUCAUAAAUAAAAGUAACUACAAAACUGCCC
rnacentral:lncRNA from 1 species